GAAAGUAUAGCUCAAUGGUAGAGCUCUGGACUCAUAAUCCAUUGGCUGAAGGUUCAAGUCCUUCUUCUUUCA
rnacentral:tRNA from 1 species